GGGCCCGUAGCUCAACCGGUUAGAGCAGCGGACUCAUAAUCCGUUGGUUGCAGGUUCGAGUCCUGCCGGGCCCA
rnacentral:tRNA from 2 species